ACACGGGCGGACUCGGUGACGGACGGCGGCGGAGGGCACAGAAGAGCUGGUAGAGCUGGCCAGUGGGGGGGAGCCGUAACCCCAGAAGCGCCCUGAAGCGGCAGCGGCGCCUGCCUCACCGCGGCACGAGGAGGGCUGAGAAGAGCUGGUAGAGCUGGCCAGCGGGGGGGAGCGGUAACCCCAGAAGCGCCCUGAAGCGGCAGCGGCGCCUGCCUCACCGCGGCACGAGCGGAGAAGAGCUGGCCAGCGGGGGGGGGAAGCGGUAAUCCCUGAAGAAGGCGGCACCCCAGCAGGUGAGGCCGAUCCGCGGAGCUUCCUGCACCCUCUGUGCUGGAGCGUGGGGGAGGGGGGGGUAGCGAAUGGGCUGCAGCUGGGGACCUACGGCCCCUCUGCAGGCCCGGGGCUGUGAAAGGCUGUGGGGAGUGACGUCCCGAGCCACGUGGGUGCUGCGUGGCUUGUAGCUCCUGUCAAGCACCGGUGACCCGCGGGGUGGGCAGCGGUCGGGCUUGCAUGCUUCCAUUCCUUCCUUUAAUGCACCAUUUGGGGGCAGUGGGCGAGGUCCCCGGGCCUCGGCUGCAGCUUUCCCUUAAGGUGUCAUUCAGGGGGGCAGAGGCUCAGGUCCGUAGCCAGCUCCACUGCCCCCUUAAGGAGUCAUUUGGGGGGGCGGCAGGCAGGGUUGGUUUGUCUCUGCCCGCAGUCCUCUCUUAAGGCAUCGUUUGGGCCAGCAGUGGGGAGGGCCGGAGGGCCCCCACAGUCCUCCCUUGAGGUGUCAUUUGUGGGGGCAGCGGCAAGGUCCGUAGGCCGCCGCUGUCCUUGCUUAAGGUACCGUUUGGGUUGGCAGUGGGUCAGGUCUGAACCCCUGUAGUUCUCACUUACGGCCUUUGGGGGGGGGCAGCGGGCCAGGUCUGUCGGGCUUGGCCCGCGGCCCCUCCUUAAGGCGUCACUUGGGGCUGCAGUGGGCGAGGGCCUGGAGGUCGCCACUGUCUGCUCUCGGGGUCAUCUUGCCGAGCUGCGGUGUGGUGCUGCCCUGCUCGCAAACGGGUCAAGCACUGACAGUCUUUCACACCCCCAAGCCCGAGCUACGGUGUGGUGCUGCCUAGCUCUGUGGGCGGUCAAGCACUGGUGGUCACUUGAGGGGGCUUGUGCCCUUUCAAGGCCAUCCCAUAGGGAAGCACGAGCACAUGGGGUGCCACCAAAGAAAACCAGCAGAGAAGACAACACAAAAGCAGGUGUGACCUGGCCUGCUAUUUAAUGGACAAAUAAAAUUGAUCUGCCAGGCAUCUUCUUGGUGCUUGGUGCCUUUCACCUCCAAGUUUAUCCUUCCCCGCUGCGCUGUUUCUCUCAUCUCCUUUUCUGUUACUUCACAUCCAAGUUUCCCCGCCCGCUGCCCCCUUUAAUUUCUGUAGUGGUUCCCUUGUAACCACUGCAUGCUGAGUGCGUCCAAGCUGGUCAUCCAGGAUGCUGAAUCCCUUGCUGAUAAGGGAUCAAUGGAAGACAUUGCUUGCCUGGACCGGCCACCUGAGGCUGCAGCCCUGAAUCCCGCGAGACCGGUCCCCUUUGAGGGUCGAUGUGCAUCGCCCCAGGAAGGACAAGCAGACGGGACGGCUGGCAAGCAGCAGCGAGCUGACCAGGAGGGAAGAAGGCCAGACCAGCCAAACAGGAGGUAAAGGCCUCGGAAGAACUGGAAGGAGACGUGGAUGAGGAAAGCGGGGAAGAGGCGAGGUAGGAGAAAAGCCAGUCAGAGAAAUGGGAUGUGAAGGAAAGGGACUCUGGACAGAGUGGCUUCCCUGCCUUUAGGUCUCAAUCAUGUCUUGGCCAAAUUUGGGCUUUGUGAGCCUUUGGGCGAGCUCCCUGUAACUCUGAAAGGAGUCUCUGCCCUUGAUGCUGUUGCACUUUUGCAGCAGUCAGGUGGAAGGUGGACAUCCCUGUAAUCGAGGUGUGUACCCACCACCAUGUUUGUAAAGGCCGUGGAUCUGGUUAGUGGUCUUGCACAGCACAGCCCCCCCACCCUGUAAUCAGAGUCGAGGCCAGCUGUCAGACCUGGCUGCCAAUUGCACAGCAACCUGUAAGUGGGGUGCGUGCUGCUUUCUAACAUGAGAAAAAACGUCUAGCGUUGGACAUCCUGUAAUUGGGAGUCAAAAGUCCACUGCUAUUCCCGGCCAGUCGGAGAGAGCUCCUGUAAGCAGGGUGGACGUAGCCUCCUUCCACUGGCCUUAGACAGCCAGAGCAAUCUGCAGCGUUGUGCUGCAGGACGGCCUUGCAGACAGGAGCCAAGUCUCGUGGGGUGGCAGCCAACUCUUUAGACUCCAGAGCUUGAUGACUUUCCCGUGGUCUGGGUUGAAGUCUGUGGCCUCCUUUCCAAGCCCUGUGUCCAGGCACCUGUCCUUUUUAAUGCAUCUGUGUCUGACACUCCACGUCUAGACCCCUGGGCCGCCCUGUAACAAGGGUGCAAGUCUCGUGCCCCUGGUGGAGGGCUAAAUAGCACAGAACAGUGGACCGCCCUGUAAGCAGGGCCCAGGUCUCUGCCUUUGGGAACAGCUCUGUUUUUUGGCCUGGCGGCCUUCCCUGUAACCAGGGCUCUGGGCCUUUGCCUUUUGCCACCUAAGGGCAGCGUGGCUAGCGAGACGGACCGUGCCCUGUAAGGAGGGUGUGAGUGCUAUGUCUCUUGAUGGAGGGUUGACUUCUGCAGAGCUCUGGACUACCCUGUAAGCAGGGUCCAGGUCACAAUGUGCCUUUGCGGACAGCUCUGUCCUUUGCCAGGCCUGACAGCCCUCCUUGUAAGCAAGGCUCUGGGCUUCCCUGUUGCCCACCAUGGGCAGUGUGGCUAGCAAGACGGACCAUUCCCUGUAAUGAGGGUGCAAGUCUCACGUCUCUUGGAGGGCUAGAUUGCGGAGAGCUGUGGACCACCUUGUAAGCAGGGUGCCGGUCUCAGUGUGCCUUUGGGGACAGCUCUGUCUUAGCUGGCUGUGGGCCUUUCCCUUUUGCCCCCCAUGGGCAGCGUGGCGAGUGAGACGGACCGUGCCCUGUAACGAGAGUGCGAGUCCUCUGUGUCCUGUUACACAGAUAGUUCCUGCAGAGCUGUGGACCGCCCUCUAAGCAGGGUCCAGGUCACAGUGUGCCUUUGGGGACAGCUCUGUCCUUUGCCAGGCCUGACGGCCCACCCUGUAAGCAGGGCUGUGGGCCUCUCCCUUUUGCCCCCCGUGGGCAGCCUGACUAGCCAGCGGGGCCGGGCCCUGUAACGAGGGUGCGAGUCCUGUGCAUCCUGUUGCACACCUAGGUUCUACAGAGCUGCGGACCGCCCUGUAAGCAGGGUCCAGGUCACAGUGUGCCUUUGGGGACAGUCCUGUCCUUUGCCAGGCCUGACGGCCCGCCCUGUAAGCAGGGCUGUGGGCCUCUCCCUUUUGCCCCCCGUGGGCAGCCUGACUAGCCAGGCGGGCCGUGCCCUGUAACGAGGGCGCCGGUCUCAGCCUUGUCGCCCCCUGGGAGCGGAGGAGGAUUUUCAGUGUAAGGCUCGAGGUCAAGCAGUUUGCAGCAUCGAGCUCCUUUCCAGCCUGGGAACACUUUUUCCCGUGCCAGUGUGUGGAGAGCGAGAGAGAGGAGCGCCUGGGAGUGAAAGCGUUUGUUAUUUUCUUUUUGUUGUUAAAAUCGCUGCAGCGUACUUUAUUUUCUUCCCAGUGCUGGGAAAGGGGCGAGAUGCGUCUUCGUAGCCUUCUCCUCCCACCUCCAUACCUAGGGGGACGGAUAUCCAGGCCUUUUGGUCUCGGGGAGCAUUAGGCCCCCUCUAAUAAUUUUGGGCACACGGUCUCCCUGUAUUUCAAGGUACAGGCCUUAGGUCCCUUGUUUUUGGGUUGCUUUGGGCACUUGGUAGCUCGAUUGCAGUUCCUGCCCUCCUGGAGAGACAGCCACGUAUUCUCCACUUGAGUCCCUGGGGACGAGUGCCCUGGCACUUGGCCAGCCAUUCCUCUGCGCCCCCGACCCCAGCCUGCAGCCUGUAAGCAGGGUCCAGGCCCCCUUGAUUCUCUGGGUUGGGUCUCGUCCCACUCGGUGAGGUUGGCCACAGAUGAUCCCCACAGACUGCAGGGAAGGUUGCAGGCUUCUGGAGGAUACUGGGCGCGCUGGGACCCCUGAGGCUUCGUGACCUUCCUGUAACUCAGGUCCAGGUCUCUGCUCUGCUGCUCCUGGCACCAUUGAGAUGGUCUCCUCUCGCACCCUGUAAACAGGGCUGCGCCCCCCCAGCCCCUCUUACCUUGGGGGAGGAGGCCUCCUUUAGCCCUUUGGGCUCUGUGGCAGCCGUGAUGGGAGGCUGAAGUAAUGGCCUUUGUGUCCCCGGACACAGGGCUGCUUUGAGCCCUGAUUGAGACCACCUGAGGCACCCGUCAGCUGGCAUUCAGGGCUUUACAGGUUUUCUCUGGGCUUCAUGCCCCGCAGCCAGCUUUGUGCAAGGAGCACCGCCCUGUAAGCAGGGUUGCCGGUGUCUGUGGUCACCUUCAUGGUGCCGUCCUAGCACUUCUGUCCAGAGUCCUGGCCCAUCGCACUCUGCUUCUGGCUGCCCCGGAUGUCAGCAGCCGAGCCCGCAUACGUCUGCCCUCCCCCAUCUCUACGGAUAGAGGACAGAUUGGCAGCAGAUUCAGGCCCUGAUAGGAGCAGCUGUAAAGAUGGUGCACAAGCAGGAGUCAGCUGACAAGGAGGGAAGAAAACCAUGCAAAGCUGCCAGAUGGACAAGCAGUGGGCGAGCCCACCACACCACAGCGAAAAGCCAGGAAAAUGGGAUGCGAAGGAAAAGGACUCUGGACAGAGUUAUCUCCCUGCCUUUAAGUAUCAGUCACGUAUUACCCAAUUUUGACUGCAUGAGCUCUCUGUAAUGCAGAAACGAGUUUGUGCCUUUAAUGCUGUUGCACUUCUGUGGCAGUUGGGUGGAAGUGGACAACCCUGUAAGCAAGGCGUGUGUCACCGCCACCUCGUUUGUAAAGUGUGGAUCUAGUCGGUGGUCUUGUGCAGUGGGGCCGCCCUGUAAGCGGGGCCCGGGCCAGCUGCCAGACAUGACUGCCAGGGGCGCAGCCUCCUGUAAGCAGGGUGCGUGCUGCGUCUUACUGCAUAAGAAUGACAGACAAUUUGAAUGUUCCUAGUGUUGGAUGUCCUGUAAUUGGGAGUCAAAGUCCACUGCUGUUCCCAGCCAGUCAGAGAGGAGCCCCUGUAAGCAGGGUAGACGUAGCCUCCUUCCACUGGCCUUAGAUAUCCGGAGCAGUCUGCAGCGUUGUGCCGCAGGACGGCCUGGCAGACCGGAGCCGAGUCUCGUGGGGUGACAGCCAACUCUUUAGACCCCAGAGCUUGAUGACCUUCCCGUGGCCUGGGUUGAAGCCUGUGGCCUCCUUCCCAAUCCCUGUGUCCAGGCACCUGUCCUUUUUCAUGCAUCUGUGCCUGGCACGCCACAUCCAGACAGCUGGGCCACCCUGUAAGGAGGGUGCGAGUCCCAUGUCUCUUGGUGCAGGACUAGACUGCGCAGAGCUGUGGACCACCCUGUAAGCAGGGUUCAGGUCUCAAUGUGCCUUUGAGGGCAGCUCUGUCUUUUGGCUGGCUGAUGGCCUUCCCUGUAAGUAGGGCUGUGGGCCUGUCCCUUUUGCCCCCUUUGGGCAGUCUGACUAGUCAGACGGACCGUGCCCUGUAACGAGGGUGCUAGUUCCGUGCCCCUGUUGCAGGCCUAGAUUGUGCAGAGCUCUGGACCGCCCUGUAAGCAGGGUACAGGUCUGUGUGUGCCUUUGAGGGCAGCUCUGUCCUUGGUCUGGCUGUGGCCCCCCUGUAAGCAGGGCCUUGGGUCUUUCCCUUUUGCCUUCUGUGGGCAGUGUGCCUAAUGAGAUGGAUCGUGCCCUGUAAGGAGGGUGUGAGUCCCACAUUUCUUGGUGGAGAGCUAAAUUGUGCAGAGCUGUGGACCACCCUGUAAUCAGGGUCCAGGUCUCUAUGUGCCUUUGGGGACAGCCCUGUCCUUUGCCUGGCCCGGCGGCCCCCCUGUAAACAGGGCUCAGGGCCUUUGCCUUUUGCCCCCCUGUGGGCAGUGUGGCGAGUGAGAAGGACUGUGCCCUGUAACGAGGGUGCGAGUCCCAUGUCUUUUGGUGUAGGGCUGGCUUUAGCAGAGCUGUGGACGACCCUGUAAGCAGGGUCCAGGUCACAGUGUGCCUUUGGGGACAGCUCUGUCCUUUGCCAGGCCUGACGGCCCACCUUGUAAGCAGGGCUGUGGGCCUCUGCCUUUUGCUCCUCUUGGGCAGUGUGGCUAGUCAGACGGACCGUGCCCUGUAACGAGGGUGCGAGUCCUGUGCAUCCUGUUGCACACCUAGGUUCUACAGAGCUGCGGACCGCCCUGUAAGCAGGGUCCAGGUCACAGUGUGCCUUUGGGGACAGCCCUGUCCUUUGCCAGGCCUGACGGCCCGCCCUGUAAGCAGGGCUGUGGGCCUCUCCCUUUUGCCCCCCGUGGGCAGCCUGACUAGCCAGCCGGGCCGGGCCCUGUAACGAGGGCACCGGUCUCUGCCUUGUCGCCCCCUGGGAGCGGAGGAGGAUUUUCAGCGUAAGGCUCGAGGUCAAGCAGUUUGCAGCAUCGAGCUCCUUUCUGGCCUGGGAACACUUUUUCCCGUGUCAGUGUGUGGAGAGUGAGAGAGAGGAGCGCCUGGGAGUGAAAGCAUUUGUUAUUUCCUUUUUGUUGUUAAAAUCGCUGCAGCGUACUUUAUUUUCUUCCCAGUGCUGGGAAAGGGGCGAGGUGCGUCCUUGUAGCCUUCUCCUCCCACCUCCAUACCUAGGGGGACGGAUAUCCAGGCCUUUUGGUCUCGGGGAGCGUUAGGCCCCCUCUCUAAUACUUUUGGGCACACGGCCUCCCUGUAUGUCAGGGUACAGGCCUUAGGUCCCCUCUUUUUGGGUUGCUUUGGGCACUUGGUAGCUCGUUUGCAGUUCCUGCCUUCCUGGAGAGAGAGCCAUGUAUUCUCCACUUGAGUCCCUGGGGACGAGUGUCCUGGCACUUGGCCAGCCGUUCCUCUGCGCCCCCGGCCUGCAGCCUGUAAGCAGGGUCCAGGCCCCCUUGCUUCUCCGGGUCGGGUCUCGUCCCACUCGGUGAGGUUGGCCACAGAUGAUCCCCACAGACUGCAGGGAAGGUUGCAGGCUUGUGGAGGAUACUGGGCGCGCUGGGACCCCUGAGGCUUCGUGACCUUCCUGUAACUCAGGUCCAGGUCUCUGCUCUGCUGCUCCUGGCACCUUGAGAUGGUCUCCUCUAGCACCCUGUAAACAGGGCUGCGCCCCCCCAGCCCCUCUGAUCUUGGGGGUGGAGGCCUCCUUUAGCCCUUUGGGCUCUGUGGCAGCCGUGAUGGGAGGCUGAAGUCAUGCGCUUUGUGUCCCUAGACACAGGGCUGCUUUGAGCCCUGAUUGAGACCGCCUGAGGCACCCGUCAGCUGGCAUUCAGGGCUUCACAAGUUUUCUCUGGGCUUCAUGCCCCGCAGCCAGCUUUGUGCAGGGAGCACUGCCCUGUAAGCAGGGUUGCCGGUGUCUGUGGUCACCUUCAUGGUGCCGUCCUAGCACUUCUGUCCAGAGUCCUGGCCCGUCGCGAUCUGCUCCUGGCUGGCCCAGGUGUUGGCAGCCGAGCCCACAGACGUCUGCCCUCCUUACUUUCUGCGGACAGAGGACAGUGGCCACAGGUCCAGAGGAAGAAGCAGAGAAGACAACAGACAAAUAGGAGUUAACGUGUAACCAGGACAGAAAACAGUGCCAGCCCACCGGGAGACAAAGGUCCCUGAAGAGCAGCUGGAGAAGAAGGAACAGAAGCAGGACAAGAAAGCUCAGAAACAACAAGUGUGGGUUGGGGUGGACAGGAGAAAGAGAGGCACAUGUUUAAUGUAUGCUUAGAUAAGUACAGAUGGAGACUGUCGUGUGCAUCUCUACACUUUCAAACACUCAGUUAGGAGCAAGCUGCUGCACGCUUCAAGUUGCACCAUGGACUCGGUCUUGGGUUGGCCUUAUUUGUAGGCAGUGAAGUUGAGGCGUUGUGCUAGUUGUGUGUAUUGGGUUGGCCCCGAUUAGGCAGUGAGGUUGAGGCGUUGUGCUAGUUGUGUGUAUUGGGUUGGCCUGGAUUUGUAGGCAGUGAGGUUGAGGUGUACUAGUUAUGCGUAUUGAUAUGUGGCAGUCUAGGUUUUUGCAGGUUGUUUGGCUUUGCUAGUUCAGGAGUUGAUCAAAAUAGCUGUGACUGAAGGUAGCAUGUAGGGUUUUCUGGGUUGGAUUGUCAGUGUUGGUGUAGAAAUGCAGGUUUGUGCUCCGUUCGGUUAGUGGCUUGGCUGUAGCUUGGUUUAGCCGUAGGUUGUGGGGCCCGUUUGAGGCUGUUUGUGGUGCAAUUUGGUUGCGUCUGUAAGUUAAAGCUCCAUGGGUGUUUGAAAGGGUUAAUCUCCAUCUCCAUGCACGAAGAUCCUAGUGGUAGUUGGCGUGCUCAGCGUCAAACCAGAUGUGCACAAUCGAACAAUAAACGGUAUAAAAAACCUUUUCACCUUGUGCCUGGUGCUCUUCUACACUGAGAGGACUUGGCCAUUACCCUUUCCUGUUGCAAUCUGGCUGGAGAAAUAAACUUUUUCAUUCUGUCUACUGA